ACUUCAUGAGUGGUCUACCAGACCUGGCCUACCCUGGGAGGAUCUUGUCACCAGCUACACUAUUUGAGUGUAAUUAAAGCCAGGCUGCACUGGUGGAGAGGCUCCAAAAAAGUCCCCUCUGCAGGAUAACCUCCAGAAGCUGCACCCCACUGUCAAAGCAGGAGGGAACAGACAGCCAUUUGGCUGCAGAAUAAUCACUAUCCUCAGUAAGGACAUGGAAAACUAAAAGGAAAACAUUUAAAGAGAUAGUUCACCGAUUUGAAAAAAAAAAAAAAAAAAAAUGCUAUUAUUCCCAUUAGCG